GAGGAAAAGAAACCAACAGGGAUUGCCUCAGUAACGGCGAGUGAAGCGGCAAAAGCUCAAAUUUGAAAUCCCCCGGGAAUUGUAAUUUGAAGAGAUUUGGGUCCGGCCGGCAGGGGUUAAGUCCACUGGAAAGUGGCGCCACAGAGGGUGACAGCCCCGUGAACCCCUUCAACGCCUUCAUCCCAGAUCUCCAAGAGUCGAGUUGUUUGGGAAUGCAGCUCUAAGUGGGUGGUAAAUUCCAUCUAAAGCUAAAUACCGGCGAGAGACCGAUAGCGAACAAGUACAGUGAUGGAAAGAUGAAAAGCACUUUGAAAAGAGAGUGAAAAAGUACGUGAAAUUGUUGAAAGGGAAGGGCUUGCAAGCAGACACUUAACUGGGCCAGCAUCGGGGCGGCGGGGAGCAAAACCACCGGGGAAUGUACCUUUCGAGGAUUAUAACCCCGGCCCUUACUCCCAUACCACCCCGAGGCCUGCAAUCUAAGGAUGCUGGCGUAAUGGUUGCAAGUCGCCCGUCUUGA
rnacentral:rRNA from 1 species